AUUGUGAGAAUAUCCAUCUGUCCUAAACUUAGGGGCAAAGAAACCCGUUUUAUGGUGUGAAAGAGGUGUGUUCAUGGACGCAAGGCAAUUGCAUACUGAACACCACGUCACUCAUAAAGGUGAGGCCCGAGAACAUUAAUAG
rnacentral:lncRNA from 13 species